GAGGGUGAGGGUUCAAUGAGGGACAUGAUGAAGGUGAUGUGUGGUUCAUAAAUGGAGUAAUUUUAUGGGGCAGUUGAAAAGUUUUAGGUUUUUUGUGUUUUUUUUUUAUUAUUAAAAAGUCAUCCUUCAUCACAAUUUUAAUAUUUGUGCUUUGCUUGGAUUUGUAAGAAAGUUAAUAAACUAUUCAAAGUAAUUUGUUUUACGCAAAUCACAAUGAAUGGAAUACGUCGUAUGUUCGUGUUUCUUAUUUGCUUGAAUUUGAUGCUAUUUUUGUUAAUUCCAUUGACAGCGAUAUG
rnacentral:lncRNA from 1 species